rnacentral:rRNA from 1 species
GAACGGAAAUUAGCUUCGGUUAAUUUUAGUGGCGGACGGGUGAGUAACACGUGAGAAUUCGCCUUUAGGAGGGGGAUAACGGAUGGAAACAUUCGCUAAAACCCCAUAUGCCCCUGGGUGAAACAGAGGAGAUAAGUAAUACUGAUUCACCUCUGCCUGAAGAGAAGCUCGCGGCUGAUUAGCUAGUUGGUAGGGUAAAGGCCUACCAAGGCGACGAUCAGUAGCUGGUCUGAGAGGACGAUCAGCCACACUGGAACUGAGACACGGUCCAGACUCCUACGGGAGGCAGCAGUGAGGAAUUUUCUGCAAUGGGCGAAAGCCUGACAGAGCAAUACCGCGUGAGGGAUGAAGACUUACUGAGUUGUAAACCUCGGUACCUUAAGGAAGAAGAUCUGACGGUACUUAAGGUGGAAAGCAUCGGCUAACUCCGUGCCAGCAGCCGCGGUAAGACGGGGGAUGCAAGUGUUAUCCGGAUUUACUGGGCGUAAAGCGUCUGCAGGUGGUUUCUUAGGUCUACUGUUAAAUCUUGAGGCUCAACCACAAAUCUGCAGUAGAAACUAGGAGACUUGAGUAUAGUAGGGGUAGAGGGAAUUUCCAGUGGAGCGGUGAAAUGCGUAGAUAUUGGAAAGAACACCGAUGGCGAAGGCACUCUACUGGGCUAUUACUGACACUCAGAGACGAAAGCUAGGGGAGCAAAUGGGAUUAGAUACCCCAGUAGUC